UGGGGAAUAUUGCACAAUGGGGGAAACCCUGAUGCAGCGACGCCGCGUGAGCGAAGAAGGCCUUCGGGUCGUAAAGCUCUUUUAUGAGGGAAGAUAAUGACGGUACCUCAAGAAAAAGCCCCGGCUAACUACGUGCCAGCAGCCGCGGUAAUACGUAGGGGGCUAGCGUUGUCCGGAAUCACUGGGCGUAAAGGGUUCGCAGGCGGAAUAACAAGUCAGAUGUGAAAGGCAUGGGCUCAACCCAUGUAAGCAUUUGAAACUGUAAUUCUUGCGAAGUGGAGAGGUAAGUGGAAUUCCUAGUGUAGCGGUGACAUGCGUAGAUAUUAGGAGGAAUACCUGUGGCGAAGUCGACUUACUGGACACAAAUCUGACGCUGAGGAACGAAAGCGUGGGUAGCAAACAGG
rnacentral:rRNA from 1 species